CGGCCAUUACUAAUUCAAGCCAAUUUACUACUCACAUGUACAAAAUUCAACUGGUGGCCUUAUCAGACGAUCUGCGCCUUAUCAAACCAUUGCCUCAUGUGCUUCCGUUUCCCUUUUGUUGGGUUCUCAAGAGGAGCAAGGACGAAAGCAAAGAAAAAGGAAAAAUGAAUAAACAUAUUAUGAGAGAUUGGGAGGACAAAAAAUUGUAAGCUUUAGGCUUCUUCAUCUGCUUCAAAGAAGGUACUGUCUGCAACAACAUUGAUGCCUAUGUGUCCGUCUAAAACUAUUAAUUUUUACCAUGUUUCUUGAGUUGAUGUACUUGUAUGUUCUCUUUUUAUUUUAACGAUUUUCGAUUUCUUAUUGAGGAAACAUGAGACCGUGGCGGAGCUAUUGCAUCAUAAUAUGAAGGAAUUUACAGAUUUUCUGACAUUUGAGGAUUAGAAUCUGCAUGGAACUAUCCUCAAGCAAUAUGAAAUAUAUUUGCAUGCUGAAAGGCGAAUUGCAAAUGAUCCUCAAUCUCAGGGAGAUUGGACCCUGAAUAAACAAGCCUGGUGCUUUACUGCUUUCAAUUGAUCUAAGGGGAAAUCGUCUUUCUGGACAAAUCCCAGACGAGAUUGGUGAUUGUUCUGCUUUGACAAGCUUGGAUUUUUCCUUCAACGAGCUGUAUGGGGAUAUUCCCUUUCAAUCUCCAAGCUGAAACAACUAGAAUUCUUUGACUUGGCACAAAAUAGUUUGAGCGGAGAAAUACCAAGACUCAUAUAUUGGAAUGAAGUACUGCAAUAUUUGGGUUUGCGUGGGAACAAGUUGGGCGGAACUCUCUCGCCAAAUAUGUGUCAGCUCAUGGGCCUGUGGUACUUUGAUGUCCGAAACAACAGCUUGACUGGUUCUAUUCCAGAGAAUAUUGGAAAUUGUACAGCCUUCCAGGUUUUGGAUUUGUCGUAUAAUCAAUUGACUGGUGAGAUUCCCUUCAAUAUCGGUUUCUUGCAAGUGGAUACCUUUGUACAAUGUCUACAAGUGAUGCGUUUGCAAAUUUGACGAAUAAGAAGAUUCUUCGCAAUUGAAAAUUAAGAGAAAGAUAUGCUUGCUUAUCAGUGGAACAAAAAGAAGCUCGUCGAGUCACACAGAGCGAAGCUUACCAAAAGAGAAAGCAAGAAAAGCAGCUACAUCAAGGUCUUCUAUAAACCAAUAAGAAAGUGUAGAAGAAGUUCCAGUUUCAUAUGAGCUGCUGCAAAACAGUGACUACAAUAACCAGCAGCCUAUUGUUAUUGAGCCACUUCUACAACAGAAUGGAAAAAAAAGGGCUGAUAGGCAACAAUGUAUUGCUAUUGAACCAGUUGUACAACAAAAUUCCGAAGAUAACUUUUUGUUUAAAGUCAUUACUCAGUCAGAAGGCAAGCUAAAGAAACAUGUUUCUGUAUUGUCAACAUUUGAAGAAGGAAGCAGAGAAAUAGGAUAUGGAAGAGUAGAUAAACAAGUGAGCUUCCAAUCUGCAGCGAGUGUUAUAAGUAUCUUUAUGAAUCUUCACAGCAUGUAUCAGGACUGCCUACUUUGUUUUGUCACAAUCAUAUUGCGAAACACUCUUUAGGUCAUGUCAAUCAUCAGCCAACAGGCGCCGUUCAGAAUUUGAAGACUACCGGACCUUUAAGCUUUAAAAGUCUUGUUCGCUAUUUUCUUCAAAGAGUUAGCAGCAAAAAGCAUUUGAUAAGACACAAAUUUUCGUCAUAGUGUUUUGCUCUGCAAUGCAAGCUAAUCUGUCACAUUUGCUUCUCACAGAGGUGCCACACAAUUAUAUGAAGAAAGGUACUGUCUAGAUACUUAUAUGGCUGCUUCAUGCGAGAGGUGGAUAGAUGGGCUUCAGUUCUCCUCAUUGUUUUGGCCUCCACCAAAAGAUGCAGAGUAAAGGAAGGUGUGAUUUGUUGUAUUAAAGACACGUACUUUUCUUUAUUACCUUUUACAUGCAUACGCAUGACAACUUUUUUUUUCCUUCCGUGUUCUCAAUAAAAAAUGUGUCUUUGCUUCUCUUUGGCUAAGGUCUAGCUGCUGAAUAGAAGUUAAAUGACAUGUUUCUGAUAUUUCUGAUUUAUGUGUUGAACUUGUCAAUUGCAUUACUCUAUUGUGUCUCUUCUCCUGCAAUCUAUCACUGUUUCCAUUGUAAUUGAUACAUGUAAGUCUACCUUGAAGCUCCUUAUUAAUUAACUAUAAAUAUUUUGGAA